rnacentral:rRNA from 1 species
UACGGGGGGAGCAAGCGUUGUUCGGAUUUACUGGGCGUAAAGAGCGCGCAGGCGGUCGGAUCAGUCGAAUGUGAAAGCCCCCGGCUCAACUGGGGAGGGUCAUUCGAUACUGUCCGACUCGAAGGCAGGAGAGGGAAGCGGAAUUCCCGGUGUAGUGGUGAAAUGCGUAGAUAUCGGGGAGGAACACCAGUGGCGAAGGCGGCUU